UUGGGCGGGCCGGGUAAGGUCCAGCCGUAUCCGCCUCCUUCAUGUCCCGCUGUGGGAGGGGCUCUGGAGCGCCGGGACUGUGAGAUGGCCAAUGACGGUCUGACCCGUUGGGCCGGGCCAGGUCGCGGACAACGUCGACCGUUUGUUUAAGAAGCGUGGACUCUUGUCCUGAGUGCACCGAGGCUUUCAGCCUGCGGGACAGUGGUGCGAUUUGCAUUAGAGAAAGGGAGAUGCCAUGUGCUGGCCCAGCACUCCAACAGGGGCCUGACCUCUAGGAACGGGACACUGGAGGAAGCCUAGACAUCUGAACAAAUCAAGUCAUCCAGAUCCACGGUCAGCUCCUGCCCCGACUUGGCCUUCCUCCUGCUGGGCUGGCCCACGGACCUCGGGAACCUGCCCUGGCUGUGGGUGACCUGCAGCCUAUCUCCCAGGACUAUGGAAGCCCCAUGCAGGAACAUGGUUCUGACACUUUGGGGAUUAUACCCUAAGCUUAAAGGACUGGAAAAGCCCCUGAAGUCCCGAGACCACAACCCUCCACCUUCUAAAGAUAAGACAAGUCACUGAAGGUAAAAUCAGCUCCUCAGUGUCUCCAAGGACAGGAAUGCCAUGGGCUGGGAGGCGCCAUGGGUGAACAGACUUCCCUACUUCCUGCCUCCCCAAGGGUGGGGAGCAGUCUAGGGGAUGGCUGUACUCCUGGGCCCAGUGUCUAAGUGAAAAUUAGGAGGAAAUGGAGGGAGGGUGGCGAGCGAGGACAGACUGGCCAAGGUCCCCCGCAGCCACUCCUGAAGUCCUCACGAGGGAGAAGCAGCCUCUCCUUCCAGCCUUCCCCAAGUCCUCCCUAAGAGUGUAUUCUACUGGUUUCUGUGCAGAUUUUUUUCGGCUGCGACCAAUAGUAGCUUAAACAUGGAUUAUUUUCUUUUUAAUUUCUUCCUGCAAAAUUCUUAGGAAACCAUUAAUAAAAGUAAUAUACAUGUGAAAUAAUAAUCUUGGAAACAUCCCUUCUUAAUGCUUAUGUAACUGUGUUAUGGUCGUGUCCCAUCUAGACUAAGUAAAUUAAAAUCUUAGCCCAGAUGAGAUGUAAGCAAAGGCAAGAAGAAACUUUGAUACCUACCAAAUCAUUCCUUGGUUGUAGACUAAAUGUAGCACAUUCUCAGCUAUUUUGAAUUCUCCAUAUUCAGGCUACAAGAGAAAAUAAACUUGUGCAUUAAACAAGUUCCAAAGUUCUUUGCAUGAACCAAUUAAUUACAGACACCUAUAUAGACUUCUUUGCUCUUAUGAACACUUAGAGAUCAGUGCUUGUGGGGCCAUCCCAGCAAAUGGUAAAUGUUAAGAAAGGGGUGGGGCUGGGCAUUGUAGCUUAUGCCUGUAAUCCCAGCACUUCGGGAGGCUGAGCAGGAGGAUCACUUGUAGUCAGGAGUUCGAGGUCAGCCUGGGCAACAUAGUGAGACCUCAUCUCUACAAGAAAUUUUUAAAACUAGCUGGGCAUGGUGGCAUGUGCCUAUAGUCCCAGCUACUCGGGAGGCUGAGGCAGGAGGAUCGCUUGAGCAAGACCCUGUCUCAAAAAACACAAAAAACAGACAAAAAAAAAAAAAAGGAAGUAGAAGCUCAGCUUUCUGCACCCAUCUCUUCCCACUUGUAUUCUCUUUCCGUGUGUCCCCCUCAACUAUGCUGGACUGUUUCCCAGCCACAACAUGAGAAAGGAUGGAUUUGGCCAUAUAAACUUUCCCAACAGACACAGCAUUUUACUUACAAACUUGCUCUCCAG
rnacentral:lncRNA from 10 species